CGAAGGGUGCAAGCGUUAAUCGGAAUUACUGGGCGUAAAGCGCGCGUAGGUGGUUCAGCAAGUUGGAGGUGAAAUCCCCGGGCUCAACCUGGGAACUGCCUCCAAAACUACUGAGCUAGAGUACGGUAGAGGGUAGUGGAAUUUCCUGUGUAGCGGUGAAAUGCGUAGAUAUAGGAAGGAACACCAGUGGCGAAGGCGACUACCUGGACUGAUACUGACACUGAGGUGCGAAAGCGUGGGGAGCAAACAGGAUU
rnacentral:rRNA from 1 species